GGGGAUUUAGCUCAGUGGUAGUGCGCUUGCCUAGCAAGCACAAGGCCCUGGGUUCGAUCCCCAGCUCCG
rnacentral:tRNA from 1 species